rnacentral:rRNA from 1 species
GAUGAACGCUGGCGGCGUGCCUAAUACAUGCAAGUCGAACGGAAAAUGUAGCAAUAUAUUUUCAGUGGCGAACGGGUGAGUAACGCGUUGGUGACCUGCCCCGGAGAGGGGGAUAACAAUCCGAAAGGAUUGCUAAUACCCCAUAUGGUCAUUAGGAUUAGAUGCCUUUUGACUAAAGGAGAAAUUCACUUUGGGAGGGGCCUGCGUCCCAUCAGCUAGUUGGUAGGGUAAUGGCCUACCAAGGCUAUGACGGGUAGGGGACCUGAGAGGGUGACCCCCCACAAUGGAACUGAAACACGGUCCAUACACCUACGGGUGGCAG